rnacentral:rRNA from 1 species
UACGGAGGGGGCUAGCGUUGUUCGGAAUUACUGGGCGUAAAGCGCACGUAGGCGGACCAGAAAGUUGGGGGUGAAAUCCCGGGGCUCAACCCCGGAACUGCCUUCAAAACUAUUGGUCUGGAGUUCGAGAGAGGUGAGUGGAAUACCGAGUGUAGAGGUGAAAUUCGUAGAUAUUCGGUGGAACACCAGUGGCGAAGGCGGCUCACUGGCUCGAUACUGACGCUGAGGUGCGAAAGCGUGGGGAGCAAACGGG